UACGGAGGGUGCAAGCGUUAUCCGGAUUUACUGGGUUUAAAGGGUGCGUAGGUGGAUUGGGAAGUCAGUGGUGAAAUACUACAGCGCAACUGUGGAACUGCCAUUGAUACUAUCAAUCUUGAAUACAGUGGAGGCGGGCGGAAUGUGUCAUGUAGCGGUGAAAUGCUUAGAUAUGACACAGAACACCAAUUGCGAAGGCAGCUUGCUACACUGUCAUUGACACUGAGGCACGAAAGCGUGGGGAUCAAACAGG
rnacentral:rRNA from 1 species